GAUGAACGCUGGCGGCGUGCCUAAUACAUGCAAGUCGAACGCAUUGUGGUUGAAAUGAUAUGAAGAACUUGUUCAGAUUUGAUUUUCAACAUUGCAAUGAGUGGCGAACGGGUGAGUAACACGUGGGAAACCUACCUCUUAGCAGGGGAUAACAUUUGGAAACAAAUGCUAAUACCGUAUAAUAAUUAAAACCGCAUGGUUUUAGUUUAAAAGAUGGUCUUGCUAUCACUAAGAGAUGGUCCCGCGGUGUAUUAGUUAGUUGGUGAGGUAAUGGCUCACCAAGACAAUGAUACAUAGCCGAGUUGAGAGACUGACCGGCCACAAUGGGACUGAGACACGGCCCAUACUCCUACGGAGGCAGCAGUAGGGAAUACUUCCACAAUGGACGAAAGUACUGAUGGAGC
rnacentral:rRNA from 1 species